AGUGAACGCUGGCGGUAGGCCUAACACAUGCAAGUCGAACGGCAGCACAGUAAGAGCUUGCUCUUACGGGUGGCGAGUGGCGGACGGGUGAGGAAUACAUCGGAAUCUACUUUUUCGUGGGGGAUAACGUAGGGAAACUUACGCUAAUACCGCAUACGACCUACGGGUGAAAGCAGGGGAUCUUCGGACCUUGCGCGAUUGAAUGAGCCGAUGUCGGAUUAGCUAGUUGGCGGGGUAAAGGCCCACCAAGGCGACGAUCCGUAGCUGGUCUGAGAGGAUGAUCAGACACACUGGAACUGAGACACGGUCCAGACUCCUACGGGAGGCAGCAGUGGGGAAUAUUGGACAAUGGGCGCAAGCCUGAUCCAGCCAUACCGCGUGGGUGGAGAAGGCCUUCGGGUUGUAAAGCCCUUUUGUUGGGAAAGAAAAGCAGCAGGUUAAUACCCCGCUGUUCUGACGGUACCCAAAGAAUAAGCACCGGCUAACUUCGUG
rnacentral:rRNA from 1 species